GGAUUAGGCAUGCAAGUCGAGCGCGAAAGCUUGAAGAACGAUCCCUUCGGGGUGAAGUCUUCUGCGAGUAGAGCGGCAAAAGGGUGAGUAAUACAUGGGUGAUGUACCCCUGACAUUGGGAUAACUUCGGGAAACUGAAGCUAAUACCGGAUAGUCCAACGCGACCUCAUGGUUGUGUUGGUAAAGGUAGGGAUCCUUCGGGACCUUCUGGUUAGGGAGCGGCUCAUGGGCUAUCAGCUUGUUGGUGAGGUAACUGCUCACCAAGGCUACGACGGCUAGGCGGUCUGAGAGGAUGGCCGCCCACAUCGGGACUGAGACACUGCCCGGACUCCUACGGGAGGCUGCAGUCGAGAAUCAUCCGCAAUGGGCGAAAGCCUGACGGUGCGACGCCGCGUGAGGGACGAAGGCCUUAGGGUUGUAAACCUCUUUCGCCUGUUAAGAAAGUGAUGUUGUGAAUAGCUUCAUCGCUGACGAAAGCAGGUAAAGAAAGCACCGGCUAACUCCGUGUCAGCAGCCCGCGGUAAAGACGGAGGGUGCAAGCGUUAACUCGGAAUUACUGGGCGUAAAGGGUCCGUAGGCGGCUUGGAAAGUUGGAUGUGAAAUCCCACAGCUUAACUGUGGAACUGCGUCCAAAACUAUCAAGCUUGAGGAUGGUAGGGGACAGUGGAACUCAAGGUGGAGCGGUGAAAUGCGUAGAGAUCUUGAGGAACUCCGGUGGCGAAAGCGACUGUCUGGGCCAUUCCUGACGCUGAGGGACGAAAGCCAGGGGAGCGAACGGGAUUAGAUACCCCGGUAGUCCUGGCCGUAAACGAUGAACACUAGGUUGGGGGGCCUUCGGGUUUCCCUUCCGUAGCUAACGCGUUAAGUGUUCCGCCUGGGGAGUAUGCGCGCAAGCGUAAAACUCAAAGGAAUUGACGGGGGCUCACACAAGCGGUGGAGCAUGUGGUUUAAUUCGAAGCAACGCGAAGAACCUUACCAAGACUUGACAUCUUUGGAUUAGGUCCUGGAAACAGGAUCGACACUCUUCGGAGCGGAACAUAGACAGGUGUUGCAUGGCUGUCGUCAGCUCGUGUCGUGAGAUGUCGCGUUAAGUCGUUGAACGAGCGAAACCCCUGUCGUUAGUUGCCAGCACGUAAAGGUGGGGACUCUAACGAGACUGCCGUGGUUAACACGGAGGAAGGUGGGGACGACGUCAAGUCAUCAUGGCCCUUAUGCCUUGGGCUACACACGUGCUACAAUGGUCUGUACAGAGGGUUGCUACACAGCAAUGUGAUGCUAAUCCCCAAAGCAGGCCCCAGUUCGGAUUGUAGGCUGCAACUCGCCUACAUGAAGCCGGAUUCGCUAGUAAUCGCAGGUCAGCUACACUGCGGUGAAUAUGUUCCUGAGCCUUGUACACACCGCCCGU
rnacentral:rRNA from 1 species